UGUUUGGUAGAUAAUUACUUGAAUUGCAAUCCUUGUCCCCAAAAUAAAGUGUUUUUAAAGUGUUGGACAAAUCCACCAGUCGAAAAAUCCAUCUCUCCUAAUGAUGGCUCCACUUUGACCUCUUUUCCAGUUUCACGGAGGUUCCAUCUCCAAGGGCUCAGAGUUGCAAAUUGAGGUUGCCAAAUUCUUCUGGAAAGACGUUCAGCUUGAUGGCAGCAUGAUCAUUAUUGCUGAAAAUGUGAUGGCUGCUAUGGGGACUGAUGAAAGUGGGGAACCUGUAUUAGAGUAUGGUCACAGAUGUGCAAGGUGUAAGUUGCAGAACGUCAGGGUACUGAACAAAGGAAUUGACUGGGAAUCUGAAGGAAAUAUCUUCUGGAGGCAUGAGAUUCAUCGAGAUGAGUGUUUGAAGAUUAUGCUGCAUGGAAAUGCUUAAUUUGAGGCUACUGAUGUUACUCUUGAGGGGAAUCAUGUUUUUGAGGUUCCUGAUGGUUGUAGGUUGAAGGUUACCUCAACAAAUCCAGGUGUAUCAAUGCAAUUAGAACCCAUCGAAGAUGCAAAGAAAGAUACGGGAAGCUGGUAUUGGAGUUACAAGAUAGAUGGACCUCAUGUAAAGUUGGAAAUGGUAGAAUCUUAAAGGACAUAUAGCAUAUAUCUCUAUAGCUGAUGUGAAUAAUUGUUCACAGAACU